CGAGGGGGGCAAAUGUUGUUCGGAAUCACUGGGCGUAAAGGGAGCGUAGGCGGGUUUUUAAGUUAGGUGUUUAAUCCCGGGGCCCAACCCCGGACAGGCACCUAAAAACUGGAAAUCUUGAGUAGUGGAGAGGUCGGUGGAAUUGGGGGUGUAGCGGUGGAAUGCGUAGAGAUCCCCAAGAACACCAGUUGCGAAGGCGGCCGACUGGACACAUAUUGACGCUGAGGCUCGAAAGCAUGGGGAGCAAACAGGAUUAGAUACCCUGGUAGUCCAUGCCAUAAACGAUGAAUACUAGGUUUUGGGCCCGUCAACGGUCCAGAGCCGCAGCUAACGCGUUAAGUAUUCCGCCUGGGGAGUACGCUCGCAAGAGUG
rnacentral:rRNA from 1 species